GUAGCAGAGCAAAAUGUAUAUUGCUUGAGGAAAGACAUGGAAGCAAAACUCAUUGGACUUUUCAUUCUGAUUGUAGGAGGGCAGCCCCAUCACCACGGUUGUGGGAACAGGCUGAGGCGGCCGUUGGAAUUCAUCGCACCCCAACCACUGUUCUGUUCCAAGAUCGAAGCACUCAAAACGGCACAUUCGGAGCCGAAACAUUUCAUCUUUGGAACACUCUGCACAUUUCUGCUGAGACGAGUGAGGCCCCAAGAUAAGAAUCCCACAAUGAUCGUCCGGCAGUCCCGAGCUCUAGAGAUCCCUCAUGAAGAAAAGCAGCAACAGCAACACUCACACCUCUUUAAGAAAGGUCGGCGCAUUCAUCCAGCCGGAGGACGUCAGAGCGGCUGAUAUUCAUCUGCUGCGUCAGUGCGGAAAGCGAGAGAUGGAGAAAACCCCACUCCAUAAUUCCACUGCAGUGUGCCUUCACUUUGAGAGGCAUAUGGCAAAGUCUGCUUUGGGGCUGGCAGCCAAUGAACUUCCCAUAAUUACAAUCCGAGCUGGUCCACCAGAAUGUUGCUCUGAUAGGCGAAGGUGAUUAGAACCCCAAAUCACAGAACUCAGUCCCAGUCUCCCGGUUGGAGCUUUUCUGCACCAUGAGUGCUCCAGGAGAGAAGAAAAGGGGUCUCACCUCAAGCAGAAGCCAAGGGACACGGGUGGAGCUAAACUGCGAUUCGCCUUUCACCUUUGCUGCUCUUGAAACACGGCAGAGAAGAAGAAGUAAGCCCUUCCACAACAGCUCGAAGCCUUAUUCACUGUGUUUCAGCACUAUCAAGGCAGAGGGCAAACCUCCAGUCGGCCCUACCGUGACACUUGCAAACUGGCCGCCAUUGCUGAUGGCUGAUUGCUGAACAUAGCUCCACGCCCAAAAGCCCAUUGGUCGCUUCUGAUCCAGAUAUUGGUUUUGCCUGAAUCAAAACGGAAAUGAAACGUACUGCUGUGAAUGCAGUUCAAGGCCCAUAUAUUAUCGCAGGUAGUGGGGAAAUGGCGUUGUCCGUGUACUUAAAGAAAAGCUUGCUGGAGAAGAUCGCAAAAGCCAUGGCUUUGGUCCGUGAGGUUAUCAUCGGAAAUGCCGCUUCAUGCCAUGGGGCGGUGGUGAUGUUCCCACAAUGGCAGCCUCCUUCCCCUGUGAACAAGCUGCCAAUCGUUGGAAGUUACCUGCUCUUGAGGGACGAGGUGAUUUUUAAAGAGGCAACGAAAAAAGCCGUGAUGCUCCCAUACCAUCUGGAAAAGGAAUUUUCCAAGGUACAAACCAGGAAAGGCCAUGAAUNGUGUUGGUAGACCAGCUGGUCCAAGCUGGAAACGGACAGAACAAUCUCAGGAGCUAAAGACAGAGGAAGGUGGAGGAGGAUUUGUACCCGGUGCAUCAAACCCUUGGAUCAAGAAGGCAAUGCUUUGCUAUGGGAAAGAAGGGCCCCCUCCAUCAGAGCUUGUCUUCAUCUUCAGUCACUCCAUCAUGCUUCAGGAGAGAAUGAGACAGUUCCAAUUCCUGGAAAGCUCAACGAAUGAGCGCCCCAGCUGCCUCCAGAAUUUGUCAGAGAUGUUAUGGGUGCCGAUUCUGACCAUUCUUCAAAGCAGCAAGCUAGCGAAGAGGACGAUGACGGUGCCUCUGAGGAGGAGAAGGAUGACGCAGAAGAGCCCAGCUUUAUCACGGAGAGAUGAUGGAGUAACUUUGUGGCCGGUGUCCAUGUGUGUAUUUGCUGCCAAGGAGCCUGGAACCCGUGCUGAGCAGGUUCCUUUUUGCUGCUUUGGACCUUCAUCGUGGCAGNGUGUGGCCAUAACCAUAUGAGUCAGGGCCGGAGCCAAGUCGGACAAGAGUUUCUUUUCAGCUUACUGCUACUGGGAUUCUGGAAAAAAAAAAGAAUGUCACGGUGCCCAUCUUGUUCUUCUUACCAUUGCUCCGAGGUGGUGUUUUCUCUCGGAAAGCUAAUGCUUUACCCACNUGUGUUUUUAAGCAGAUUCUUUUUCCCUGAGAGACUUGAAAUGUACNUACGUGAAAAAGGCUAGUUGGCUGACUCAUGCUACCAGGUCAAGCGUCCAGAGAGUUUCUGCUAAACGAAUCUUUACCAGCAGUGAAUAUCUUUUUCUGCUUUUUCAAAAAACAAAACAAAAAAAGAGACUAAGAAUUUGUUAAUAAAGAGGGAAGACAUUGAACCUUUGUGUGAGAU
rnacentral:lncRNA from 1 species